GCCAUAGGAUAAUUUAUAGUCUAAGUUAUAUCACUGGUUAGGAAACCACCAUAGAUGCAAUAAUUGCAAUUAUUGAUAACACGAUUCUGAAUGGAGCUUGAUAAACUGGAAAGGUUAGCAUAUUGGUCGGAAUUUAGAUUCCGAGUUGUUGAUUGUUGUAACUAUGAUGUGUGCUAUUUGGAGUUUCUUAGCCAAAACGACAAGGACUCUUGAAAGACUCUGAUU